CUUAUCAAGAAAGACUGAGGGACGGGCCCUGUGAUGUCUUGGCAACCUUUUUUAAAGGUGCUAAAUCCCACUCCAAAAUUUGGAGAAAGAUGAG
rnacentral:ncRNA from 1 species